GAUGAACGCUGGCGGCGUGCCUAACACAUGCAAGUCGAACGGAGUCCAGCCUUAGAGACCUUCGGGUCAAAGAGGGGAAGACUGAGUGGCGGACGGGUGAGUAACACGUGGGCAACCUGGCUCAUAGAGGGGGAUAACAGAGAGAAAUUUCUGCUAAUACCGCAUAAGCACACACUGCCGCAUGGCAGAGUGUGAAAAGAGAAUCGCUAUGAGAUGGACCCGCGUCUGAUUAGCCAGUUGGCAGGGUAAGAGCCUACCAAAGCGACGAUCAGUAGCCGAUGUGAGAGGAUGCACCGCCACAUUGGGACUGAGACACGGCCCACACUCCUACGGGAGGCAGCAGUGGGGGAUAUUGCACAAUGGGGGGAACCCUGAUGCAGCGACGCCGCGUGAGUGAAGAAGUAUUUCGGUAUGUAAAGCUCUAUCAGCAGGGAAGAUAAUGACAGUACCUGAAUAAGAAGCCCCGGCUAACUACGUG
rnacentral:rRNA from 1 species